rnacentral:ncRNA from 1 species
CGUCGGUACUACCGAUUGAAUGGUUAAGUAAGGCCCUCGGAUUGGCGCCAUUGCAGUGCCAGCCGCAAGGUUGGUGCUCAACAGGUGCCGAGAAGAUAACCAAACUUGAUAAUUUAGAGGAAGUUAAAGUCGUA